UACGGAGGGUGCGAGCGUUGUCCGGAAUCACUGGGCGUAAAGGGCGCGUAGGUGGCCCGGUCAGUUCGUGGUGAAAGCGCGGGGCUCAACCCUGCGUCGGCCAUGAAUACUGCCGCGGCUGGAGCACUGUAGAGGCAGGCGGAAUUCCGGGGUGUAGCGGUGGAAUGCGUAGAGAUCCGGAAGAACACCGGGUGGCGAAGGCG
rnacentral:rRNA from 1 species